CUACUACUCCCUCUGUCUGAAAAUACUUAUCAUUGAAAUGGAUGUAUCUAGAUGUAUUUUAGUUCUAGACACAUCCAUUUUGAUGACAAGUAAUUCCGGAUGGAGGGAGUAUUAU
rnacentral:pre_miRNA from 1 species